GGGGUCAAAUGUGUAAGACAGUGGAAUAUAAGGGCGACUCUGACAUAAAGUAAACUAACGCCGGAAAAGAUGGAGAAAUUGAAAUUCCCACUCUCACUGACUCUCUCUUCAAAACUCAAAGUGGGGUUUAAGGAUGAAGAUUGAAGAAGGUCCCAUCAAGUUCAGGAUGUAAGUUUUCGUCUCCUCCUCUACUUUUUUUUGUUUGUUUGAAAUCGAAAUCGAGUUCUCAUGUGUUUUGGGUCCUAAAUGUGUUCACCUGUAAUCGGAGCUGCUGACAACUUAGUGCUUAUUCGUUUAUAAUUCAAUUCAAGGGUCAGCGUUACAAAGAUGCUUUCACUUGGAACCCUUCAGUCGUUUUCUUUGCCAAAAGAACUUGAAACUUCCCCCUGCGUUUGCCCAAUCUAUUCAGGUUGUUUCUAAACUAGAUCACACUGACCAUUCUUAAGUUUCUCUUCUGCUCUGCUUUGGUUGUUAGUUCUUUUACUUUUCAUAGAGAUUAGCAUUUAAUAAGUGGCCUGUUUAUAGCAUUGUGUACUAUGGGACGUGUAUCUCUAGGACUGCGUGUGUGAUGUAUUCUUGCUUCAGUUAUGUUCUGUUCUGUUUUUGUAAGGAUUGUAAUAGUUCCUUCAGAAACCUCUGCUUACAUUGGCAUUUUCUUGCUUUAUCAAGGACAAGACAUGUACACUGGUGUAAAAACCAUAACAAUCAAGGUUUUAUGACACAAAAUAUCCUUCUUAUCCCCCUCUCUUUUGGUCGUCAGUGAUUUGCCGGAAUAUUAAGAAUUUCUAUAGAAGCUGAUAAGCUAUCUUUCCUUUUCUUUUUCAGCUUGAUCUCCGAGUUAAAACCAUACCCUCAUCAAGGAUCAGUUCUUGUGGGACCUAAACUAUUUUGAGAGUGGUCCUCAGGAAUUUGCAAGAACUUUUAGGUGUUGAAGAUCCUGAUGUUGGACCUGCUGCUGCCUUUGCGAUAAGGGAACAACUUUACCAGAUUGCAAUUCCAAUUGUGGCUUCAGCUAGGGAGAGUAGAUUAAGUAAAAAAGGCCGCAGAGGAUCUGAUCAUGGUUCAGCGAGCAACGCAAGUGGCUUGUCAAUGAACUUAAUGAAGUUAUUUAGCUUUUAGUCCAGUGAAGUUCGGUAAGUGACUUACCUGCUUACUUUAUGCAUAUAUUUUCUCUGUUGAAUUGUCUUCUUAAGAAUUGUUGUACGAUUGACUUAUAGCGUUUAGAUCGUUUAUAACAUGAUUUUGAUACUGUUAACUUCCUGACACAUUCUGAGCUUCUUUCUUAUAUUUACUCUUGAAUACCACCUCUUCAUACAUUUGUAUAAGUUAUCUCCAGUCGAAUCACGCAAGUCCAAAUUCCCCUGAGAAGUGAGAGAUCUGUGGAUGGUAUUGCUCACUCUUGUAAAGCCUUUUCAGUACUUCCUGCAACCAAAACUUGCAAAGGAGCCAGUACCACAACAGCUGGAGAGUAUCACGAAAGAAAUUCUAGUACCCUUGGUGUCAGUAUUACAUCGUCUCGUCGACAAGGUUAUCCUUUUCUCUUAGUGUUUUCUUGUUCUUCAUCUGCUCACAACUUUAUGUAAAGAUAUAUCUUGCUCUUUGGAUCUCAAUGAGUAUUCCUAUCUGGUAUGAUUCUGAAGCAGGCUUUGACUACCCAUGGAUGGGAUGAACUGGAAUUGGAAAAGACACUCCACAUUAUUUGCAAAUGCCUAUACUUUUCAGUAACUCACACCUCUUCAGUUUAUAUUGCAGAUACACGAAGUUUCCAGAACUGUUCUUGCAUGUCUGAGUGAUCAAAAUUUGCCAUUGAUUAUUAAACGUGAAGUCCCAUAUGCCAUCUGCUUUGUCACCUCUGCUCGGUUCCUUCUGUCGAGAUAUGAUCAGAAUUCUGGACUCCUUGAGCUUUGACUGGAGUGUUAUUCUUCUGAUGGGUACUUGAUACGGUUGAAAGCUGGGAUAAGAAGUUUGCUCCUCUUUGGCACACUUGCUAGCAGACAUAGAAAAUACUCUGACAAAGAUAAUAAACUGCUCAAUGAAGAUCGUCAAACAUAGCUCAAACAUCAGUGUAGGUAUGUUUCCUGUGCCUUUGAAGAGUUACAGAGAGGAUGCUAGGUACUUCAGCAGCGUAAGUUCCUUAACAUUUUCAUGACUUCUGAUUCUAACUCAUCGAAAUUCUUGGCAGAUGUCUAAACCAAAUAAAAAUUGCUUUUGCAACAGUGGUACAUGUUUGUUUGAUGCAGUGAGUAACGUUAAGUUAACUGCUUGCAGUGGGUAUUAGAAAAUAUGUACUUGUAAUGGAACUUAAAAAACUUGUUUUGCAAGUUGGCUGUGAACUCAUCUAAACACGGGACAUGCGAGUUUCCCUCACCCGGGAAUGUAUCUCCAAGGCUCGGGAAUGGAGUGAGAAACGACGUUGCGAAAAGUUGAGUAUAUUUUGGAUUCAAGCAAAAGGUAUGUGAGUGUAGCAGCUGAGUAUUGAGGUAAAAGAGCUGUGCUGGUUAGAGCAUAUGAGAGAAUGGGGUCCGACCAUUGCUUAUGAUUCAGCGUCUGAGAUCAAUAAGAUCAUGAAUCUUCUUCCUUUGCUUGUUGGGUUUUCAUUGUUGAUUUGUUUCUCAUUGAUCUUUAUGGAGAAGAAGGUCACACGGGGCCAAAGGAGAAGGAUAACUGGGAAGGAGAUGAGUUGUGCUGAAAGAGAAAGCCUCUGUGUGAAGAAGGUUUAGUGGGAGAUGAAGUCUCUAGUUGAGUCUUAGGAACUUGUUCCGUUGUGAAUUGCUGUGUUGUGACUAUAUAGUAUACUAGUUCAGGGAUUGGUCUUGGUGGUUGUAAUUUGACGAUGUAAGUCCUAUAACGUUGUAUCUUGAGCAGAUGAAAUACUCUCUUGACUCGCACUCUAUU